AUUCCAGCUCCAAUAGCGUAUAUUAAAGUUGUUGCGGUUAAAAAGCUCGUAGUUGGAUUUCUGUCGAUGACUGGUGGUCCUCUCUAUGAGAGUGUAUCUACUUAGGCGUUGGCAUCCUCAUGAGAGACGUUUCUGUGCUUGAUUGCAUGGUGCGGAUUUCAUGACUUUUACUUUGAGGAAAUUAGAGUGUUCACGGCAGGCACGCGCCUUGAAUACAUUAGCAUGGAAUAAUAAUAUAGGAUCGAGAUUCUAUUUUGUUGGUUUCUAGAAUCACGAUAAUGAUUAAUAGGGAUAAUUGGGGGCAUUUGUAUUAACGCGUCAGAGGUGGAAUUCUUGGAUUGCGUUACGACAAACUACUGCGAAAGCAUUUGCCAAGGAUGUUUUCAUCA
rnacentral:rRNA from 1 species